rnacentral:rRNA from 1 species
GAAUUUUAUAUUUUAAUAUGUAAUAAUAUAUAAUUAAAAUAUUUUAUUGGGAGGAUAUUUAAAUUUAAUAAACUUUAAUUAUUAAUAACAUGGAUGAAUGAAAAUUUUAAAAAAAUAUUAAUAUUUAAGAAUAAAUGAAUAAUUAUGAAUUAUUAAAGAAUUAAUUACCUUAGGGAUAACAGCAUAAUAUUUUUUUGUAGUUCAUAUAUAAAAAAAUGCUUGU